AUAGCAAUAUGAAUUUUGCCUACAGAGAAAAUGGAUUCAUUUCUGCUUUUGAUUACAUCAAAUGCCUUCUCAAUCCUCCCUAAUUAACCACCAUCCAAAAAUUUUACUAGACAAACAUCCACUGUAGUAUCCAAUGACACUUCAGGCUACUGCAAGUCAGAAACAGAAGCAAUUGAAUCUAGCUAAUAAAUCAGUAUAACUGUAUAAGCGACAAAUGUACAUAUUUCAAUUCUACUACUAUACCCAAGAGAAAAAAGGCAGAAUAUUUUGAUGGUACAUGUUACUGACCAAGAGAUCCUCUGGUUUCUUGCUAUACAAUCGAUGUCAACUUCAAACCUAUAAUCUAAGAAAAUGACCCUACCAGCUACUCAAGAAAAAAGAACUCGUGCAUAGGAUGCAUACUGUAAAUUAUCUCUUACUGUGCAGCUAGAAAGUAAUCCCGGAUGGUUUUUCUUUUCAAGGAAGAAGGCGGGUUCAAUACAGAAGAUGGACUCUUCAUUGCUGCUUCAGGAGUUUUCUCAAAAGUUUCUUUUGAAUCACAAUCCGAUGAGAACCUUCUCCUCUGAGGUUCAGGAGUACUUAUUGCAGGCAUUGUGAUAGAGUUUAGUGAGUCCAUUUCAUGGCAUACUUCAUCCGAAGGAUGCAAAUCACCGGGAGCUUUUGCAAGACCCAUCAGUUCUUCAUUCCUUAAAAGCCUUCGACAUUCUUCAGUUGGAAUUGCCAUUAUUCUCCUUCUAAUGGACGAAGGUGACCUUGAAUCUGCACAACUGCUUUGGACAUUCCAAAUGCGAACGGUGAAAUCAUCUGAAGCAGUAGCUAUCUUGCCAUCUAAUGGGCACCAAUCUACUGCUGUAACUUCUCCAUCAUGGGUUUUCAAUGUAAUGGGAUCUUUGUCAGGCUUGUUCACCUGCCAUAUGUAGGCAUUUCCAUCGCUAGAGCCAGUGAGAAUUUGAGCUGCAUCAGGACUGAUUGCUGACUUUACAAAGAAUGAUUCAAUCCGGCAUCCAGAGAACGACUUAAUUGGACCUUUUUCAAGCUGAAGCACAUUAUACAAGUAUAUUCUAUUAUCCAUGCAUGAAGCUGUAAGAAAGACUCCAUUUAAAUCCUGGGACAGGCUUGAUAUGCCAUGCAAUCUUCUUUCCUUUUCAGUUGAUGAUUUAGGAUGAGGACAAGCCUGAGUGACCUGAGCCUUUAAAUUUCUGGUAUCCCAGAAUUUUACAAUGCUGUCCACUGCCCCAGCAGUGGCAAUGGAGAUUCCAUCCUUGAGAUAAAGAACAGAUGUAAUGCUCAUGGAAGCAGCUUUGUUCCGUCUAAUUCGCUUUGCUUGAGGUGAAACAUGAGCUCUCCUGACCAUGGCAGUUGAAGUUAUGCAAGCUUCACUGCAUCUACUCUUAGAAGCAACAUUGCAUCUCAAGUCCCAUAUGGCAAAGGACCCAUCUCUUGAACCAGAAACAAGAAGAUCAGAAUUUGCUGGAUGGGGAUACAUAGAUUUAAUACUUCCUGUAUGCCCCAUCAAAACUCCAGUGCAUUUCUCCUCCUGUGCAUCCCAUACCUUAAUAGUUUGAUCACCCGAAGCAGUGAGGAUGCUGGUAUCUUCCUUGAUCCAGCAUAUAUCAAAUAUGGCAUUCUGGUGAGCCACCCAUUCACUGAUUCUUGAUUUUCCUGAACAUUCUUGAUGAGAUGCAUGAGAAGGAAGUUUUUUACGAGCGUCAAAUAAGCUCAAGUAACCAUCCUCAUCAGACACAGCCAAAAUAUGGGAACUUUUACUUGUCUUGCCAAAAGAAAUGGCCAAAGGAGGCGUCUCAUCACCAUUAUGUUCAAUGGCCAGACCUCCAAAUUCAGCAAAAUCAGACGCCUUAUCACCGAUACACGGCCGUUUUCGAACUCUGAAUCCGGUGAGUUCUCUGGACCUGAUGCCUUGGAAGAAGGAGUCCAUGGCGGCGAUGGAUAGAGAGAGAGAGAGA
rnacentral:misc_RNA from 1 species